GAUGAACGCUGGCGGCGUGCCUAAUACAUGCAAGUCGAGCGAACGGACGAGAAGCUUUCUUCUCUGAUGUUAGCGGCGGACGGGUGAGUAACACGUGUAUAACCUACCUAUAAGACUGGGAUAACUUCGUGAAACCGGAGCUAAUACCGGAUAAUAUUUUGAACCGCAUGGUUCAAAAGUUAAAGACGGUCUUGCUGUCACUUCUAGAUGGAUCCGCGCUGCAUUAGCUAGUUGGUAAGGUAACGGCUUACCAAGGCAACGAUGGAUAUCCGACCUGAGAGGGUGAUCGGCCACACUGGAACUGAGACACGGUCCAGACUCCUACGGGAGGCAGCAGUAGGGAAUCUUCCGCAAUGGGCGAAAGCCUGACGGAGCAACGCCGCGUGAGUGAUGAAGGUCUUCGGAUCGUAAAACUCUGUUAUUAGGGAAGAACAUAUGUGUAAGUAACUGUGCACAUCUUGACGGUACCUAAUCAGAAAGCCACGGCUAACUACGUG
rnacentral:rRNA from 1 species